rnacentral:tRNA from 1 species
GGGGAUAUGGCUCAGUGGUAGAGUGUUUGCCUCACAUGCAUGAAGGCCUGGGUUCAAUUCUCAGCACCA